UACGGGGGGGGCAAGCGUUGUUCGGAAUUACUGGGCGUAAAGGGCUCGUAGGCGGCCAACUAAGUCAUACGUGAAAUCCCUCGGCUUAACCGGGGAACUGCGUCUGAUACUGGAUGGCUUGAGAUUGGGAGAGGGAUGCGGAAUUCCAGGUGUAGCGGUGAAAUGCGUAGAUAUCUGGAGGAAUACCGGUGGCGAAGGCGGCAUCCUGGACCGACAUUGACGCUGAUGAGCGAAAGCUAGGGGAGCAAACGGG
rnacentral:rRNA from 1 species